rnacentral:tRNA from 2 species
GGAUAGGUGGGUGAGUGGCUGAAACCAACAGUUUGCUAAACUGUCGUACUUCGUAAGGGGUACCGGGGGUUCGAAUCCCCCCCUCUCCG